rnacentral:lncRNA from 1 species
AAAAACAAAUUUAAUUGUUAAAAUUAUUUAAAAUAUUACACUUAUCGAUAAAACUAUCAAUAGUAUAUACUGCAUUUAAUAUUAGAACCAAUUAUUCUCUGAAUGUUGAAAACCAUUCAUACAAAACAGAUUAUGAGCAUGGUAAUAAGCAAACACUGGAGGCUACAGGGAAGCAGAGGGAAUCUCUAAGAUCAAUAAUGAACAGUUCUAUUUUGGAACAAAGAAGUAGUCCUUGGCUAAGUACUUAAAAAAAAAAAAAGGCAGAGCAACAACAGCAAAGUGACUAUUUUAAAUACACCUUGAAUGAUUUAUCGCCCAGACUUGCAGGGGAAGAUGGUUGGGUGAAUGAGGUGACAGGGGCUUGGACGACUGAUCAGGAAGCCACAGGACACUGCAAACUAUAAAUGGGCCCAGCUCGGGAUUAGCCAGAUUGAUGGAACAGAACUUUGUCACUUUCCUUUGGGUUGGAAGGGGAGGAGGGGGUGGAUUGAAAUGGAGGAAACAAAUGGGCACUUUACGAAGCACAAGACACUUGCGCUGCAAAGGAACACAAUGACCAAAUUCAUUAAAAAGAUCUGGUGAUAUAUAACAAUAUUUUCAUUAUUUACAUGUGUAACAAUAUAAGCCUUAGCACAAAACCUCUCAGUUAUAGCUGCCCUCUUUUGUUUUUCAACCAUGAAUUUCAUUUUGUAAAUACAUUCAAAGGGUUGAUUUAAAAAAAAAAAUAUGGAGUGCAAGCACCAGCUCACUUUUAAAAAUGCAAAAUGAUGAAAUAAAAUGGGCUUUCUUUCCCAUCUUCUCCAGUGAAAAGUUACUCUGCUACCCCUAAAUCUGGGCUUCUUCCAAAGUAAUCAGCAAAGGUUGCUUUUUAGUAGAAAACAGUGUGAAAUCUAAUGUUAGUUCUUUUGUCGUCAGCCAAAUCAAGUAAGCAAAUACCUCCUAAAAUUUUAAAUAGACACAUUCUCUGUCUAAUCAACCACUGCCAUUCCUGUAGGGAAAAUAGGAUUUCACCUCACGUGCCAGUAGUAUCCACCAUAUAAAAACCACCAUACCCAAUCCUCAGCUUUCUCAUAAGGCCUUCUUUGCUUGCCCCUGUAGACCUUCAAAAAAAUGAUGAAGCUUGUCCCCACCCCCGGCCCCCACUCCAGGUUGUAAAUCUGCUGGGCAGAGAGAUUACAAUAGCAAGAGAAAUAGGAAACAAGAAGGCAAAGAAAAGUAAAUUGUGGUUUCUUGUUUUCAUUUUUUCCUUCUCUCUGUUUAAUAAAUAUGGCCUUUUUCAGAUUUCACAAAUCAAAAUGAUUGUGAUUUUUUAGUACGAUUUGGUGUUUAAAAUAAUGCAACCCAAUACAUGGCCAUCUGGCUGGGCUUGAUUUAUGAAAGUGACACAGGGUCUGUCUAGAAGAAAUGACUGUUCCUUGUUGAUCUCACAGUUUUCCGGAUUUUUUAACCCCUGCAUCGAUGUCAGAGGAAGAGAGAGGAAGAUGAGAGAAGGUAGAAAGUGUGACAGCUAAAUGAGAUUAAAUUAAUCCAUAAAAUCAUUGCUUUAUCACUCCCAAAUACUUUUUUAAAGUACAAUACGAAAGGACUCUACUGAGCAGAGCUUUUUGCAUCUGUAGUACUCACAACCUGAGGCAUUAUACUUUCAUUUUCCCACAUUGUAAAUAUUGAUACAUUAACUUGAUAAAUGUGACCGCUCUGCAGGGUGUAUCUAGAGUGAUCAAAAAAACCAAAAACCAAAAAACAAAAAAACAAAACUCAAAGCCCCAGCACCAGUAAAGAAGAUAUGGAAUCAUACUGGGGAAAGACCGGAACAUAGAAAUGUAGAAUAGACUCUUAAGUCUGAGCUGGUCAUCACACUGAGGGUAAUGUAGUGUGUGGCCCAGCAUCAGGAUUUCAGAACUGCAUUCUUUCAGCACAAGAAAAACAAACAAAACAAAACAAAACACCAGAACAGCUUAAUAAUUUAAACUGAAUUGCAUAUAGUUAUUAAUGGGCAGUAAUUAAUACAAAAAUAUUUUAUAGACUUGACAGCUAUUCUUUAUAAGUAUUAGUCUUCAGAAAAAGAGGAAAGAAACUUAGCAGUAUGGCGAGGUUGACGGGAAGGGAAAGAGAGGCUAAACUUAGGGGGGAAGCUCUGUAUUAACCAUUAAUAACCAGGUGGCACAUUUUUACUGGUGAUGUAGUCCAAUCUUCUGGUAAAGAUGAUAAAGGACACAGGUAUCUCCAAGAAAAGGACUAGUCUUUAGGCAAUCUCACCUAUAAACACACUAAAAACACCCACUGAAACCAAGGGAGAGAAUAAUGUUGUGAGCUUUAUGGAUUAACGAGGAGUGACAACUCUGUUAAAGUACUAGCACUUUCUGUCAUGACUGUCCUUUACUCUAUAUUUCCAAAUAUACCUUAGGUGGAGCAGACUCUCCUUCCUCAGUGCUAUCAUUUAAGGAUUGGCAUUAGUUAAAAAAAUAUUUUCUAAAGAACUCUUGUCUUCCCACAUAGCGCUUAUGCAUCAGACACAGACUAUUUCAUUCUAACAAAUUUAUUUUCUCGAUCAGCUCUUACGGAAUCACUACUCAAAUUAAAUUACAAUCAAAUGAUCACAUCAAAAGAUACCCUUACUACCUAGCAACUGUCCAUAUUUUCAUUUCAUUUUGAUUUGUGCUCGUCUGAAAAAAACACGUAAUACAAGAUCUGGGGAAAAAUAAAUUACCGUUUUGCAGCAGUUCAUAAGUAUUCUGAAUAAAAUAUUAAAAGAAGUCAUUUAAUGAAAAUAUAAAGCAAAUAUUUUUAGAUCAACAACGGAUCUAACAAUUCUAUAUUGCCGUCUUUUGAAAAGUCUGUUUAUUAAAACCUACCAAAAACACUGCUUGGAAAUGGCAGUAUUAUAUAAUCACAUCCACAGCACCCAUUCAAUCAAAGUUGGCAACGGAUUGAGGAGAGAAGUCCAGAGAAGUGCAUCGGCUGGUGCUCAGUCCUUCUAAAUCUCUUUAUCUGAGUCAGUCCAGAAAUAAAAAAUAAAAAAUAUUAAUAAAAAAAAUAUUAGCGGUGGAAUCUUUAGGCCUCAUCCACCCGAGUGACCGCCGUUAAAGCCGGGGUUGGUGGCAGGGCCUCGCUCCGCGCCCAGUCCGCCCGCCCUGCCCGACUUGGCCUGCCGGGCCCUCUCCCACUCCUCGGAGGACAUCCCUUCCUCCCUCGCCCAUCCCUCUGCUCUUUCGUGAUGCUUUAUUUCCAAGGUUACUUUGAGGAUACUUUGACUUUUGGCUUUGCUACUCAGUCUGUUAAUUUCAGAAGCUGUGAAUAUUUCCUUUUUAUUUAUGUUUUAUUUCCUGAAGACCGUUCUUUGUGUUCUCCUUCCCAUUUCAUAGUCAAUUUGUCCCCAAAUGACUUUAACAUGGCCAAGAAAAACAGGGCCCCGGAGCACAGAGUCCACCCCUGAUUUAAACCCGGUGCCUCUGCUUUCUUUCAGGUCGCUCCCAGGAAAGAAAGUUUCCAUAGAUCGCUUUAGGCAGCCCUUUGGAGGGGGUAGUGAAAAGGAGAGAGGGGUGCUUUUUUUGUUUUUUGUUUUUUCUUUCUUUUUUUUCUUUUCUUUUUUAAGAGGAGAGGACGAGGCAGGUGCUGCUGGGUGCUGUCCACCGUUGCCGUGUAGGACUUCCCAGGGUGGGAAAACCCUCGCAAGGAGUGCAGUUUCGGUGCGCUAGGCAUCUUCACCCUUCUUGAGAAAGAAAAAGAGAAACAAAAAGGAAACACCACCACAGUAUAAACGAGAUCUCAUGAUCGCCUCCUUUUUCUCUUGCGGUUUUGUGUGUUAUAUAUACGUAUAUAAAACAGUCUGGGUAUUGAUUACGCUUUUGCUUUGUGUCGCCCCUCCUUCCUCGGACUCCAGCAACGUCUCCUUGG